UUGCUAUAAGUUGCAUUUUGUACUAUGACUUCAGUUUCCUCCACCGAUCCAAAGCUCCCAAAGAAAAGCAAAUGCACUGAACCAAAAGCGAAUUGUUUGUUGAACCCACAUGCACUUUAUCGCUGUUUCCAUGUUUCAGAGUAAGAUUGACAAUGUGGGACAUUAUAGUGGAGCACUUAAUCUCUUGUACUAGAUUCCCUUCUAAGUUUGGUGUUUACAACCCAAAAUCACAGAUUUACUGGAUUUGGGCUCAAUCCCAUGGCUGCCAGAGCUCAGAGAGAGAGCUUUGGUAGAUCACAGUUGCAGCUUGCAUUACCAUUCCGCUUAUAAAUAGCUGACAGAAGUCUCUGGAUCAUCACACCUCUGCUUAUUUACUAGCUUCCUCUUGCUCCCUCUGUUUAUACUUCCUCACAUAGUCUCAUUCUGUUUUCCUUUUCCUUUCCGUUUGUUUUCCUUGUGUGGACCGAUCCACUUGAAUCACCAAACCUUCCCUUCUUCCCAAUCUUAUUCUCUCUCUAUAUUUCAGAUCCAAUCCUGUGCGCCGUUGCGUUAAAUCUCCUCUAUUGUUCGUCUGAAGUCCACUAGUGCACACGGGGUUCUACCCAUUCGUGCAACAAAGAUUGCCAACCGGCCGCCUUUUGGUUGCUGUCUUUGUGGAUCUGUUUGGUUUUCCUGUUCUUCAGUUUUUCUUGGGUGCGGCUGUGUAUUUGGAAUUGGAGAAUAAUUCUGUGCUCCCAAGCACCUUGGUUUGGUCGAUCUGCUGUGGUUCAUCCUGCUGCAAUUCCUUGUGGCUGCGAUUCCUCGACGGCAUAUGGUGGCUUAGCUAGGCAUCAAAUAGAGAAAGAGAUUUAUGCAUGAAUUUUGGCUUUAUAGGGAAGUGGUUAUGUACUUAUGCAGGUUUUUAUUGUUAACUUCUUGAAGAAUAACCAUUUCCUUCGUUGCUUGCUCAUGUUGUCUUGUUGUGGUUUUUGACAUUUUACUUGAUUAUUUUAUAUUUAGUAACCUCGCCGUAUUAUUCACCUGAAACAUUAUUCUUCUGCAUGCAGAGACAUGUUUAAGUGCCUUUCAGGAUCCACUUGAUCCAAGCACUGCCUUGGGAGGAUUCUCUGGUAACAAAUAUUCUGAGGCUUCAGCAUUCGUAGUCACCUACCCAGUUAAUAAUGCAUGCAGUUGAUGAUGUAGGAAAUGAGAAAGGGAAGGCACUGGCUUGGGAGAAGGCUUUUAUUCAGUUAGCAAAGGAUGAACUGCUGCCAAUGGUGCUGUCUCAGAAUCUGAGUCUCUCAUUUUCGGCCGAAAGCUCAACUGAGGAAGAAUUAAAAAGAGAAAGGACUGCAGAUGUUAUGACCAUAUAUAAUAGUAAGCUAUCUGGUAAUGUUCCUGUAUAUAUCUCUGACAUAGGGAGAUGCACCUCAAAUAUCUUCUUUUUAUACCUCUCGUAGUCUCGUCCAAGGGUGGAAGAAGAUGAGACUGAGACUGGGAAGGGGAAGAUAGGCUAUGGGAAAGGAGAGAUACAUGCACUCCACUUGGAUAUGUGUAGACUGUUUGAAGAUAGAACUCAUAACAUAACAUAUACUGGGAAAUGGGACGAGAGAGAGAGAGAUAGAGAAAUGCAGAUUUAUUACAUACAGAAAACAGUGGCAAUUAGAGUUUUCAUCGACAUUUGUGUGCUCGUUAAUUCAAAUUCGUUUAAAUUCACACUGAUUUCGGUGAGAAUUGUUUACUCACACUGAUGUCUGUGAGUAAUUUUUACUUACUCUUAUUAUUAUGAGUAAUUGUUAUUCUGUUUUGAAAUUCAAAACCUAUUAACUUUUUUUUAAUUUUAGGGAAAGAAUUAAAAAAUUAUAAUUGUCUGUGAGUAUAAAACUGUUUAAUAAAUGUUAUUUUGUUAUUAGACACAGAUAACAGUGAGUAAAACAUUUGUUACAGAUAUCUGUAAGUAUAAAGUUGUUUAAUAAAUGUUAUUUUGUUAUUACACACAGAUGACAGUGAGUAAAACAUUUGUUACAGAUAUCUAUAAGUAUAAAUUUAUUUAAGGGCAAAUUACUGGUCACACCCUCAUCUUUUUGGGAUUCGACAGUUCAGUCCCUCAUAUCGUAAUUUUAACAAGUAACUCCUCAUACAUUCAAAUUUCACACAAUUUGGUCCAAAAUGACCAUUUUACCCCUCACUUCCUUAUUUUAAAAUUUUUUUUUUCUUUUUUCUCCUUCGCUCUCACUUUGUCUCUUCUCUCGCCAACUCGCUGAGCCUCCCCCAUCAUCCAGCCACCAACUUGACGCCGUGGAAGCUCGAUCCGACCAUUCCACCCUCCCUCAGCCCCCCUGUCACACCCCCAAACUCGAGACCAAUAUUGUACUGAAAUAUGGUACCCGAAUUUGGGAUGUGAGCCAAACUAAAUAAAACUUCCUUUUUGAAAGAAAGUAAAAGACUAUAUAUAGAUAUACCUGAAUAGUACUUUUAUUAGAAAACGAAAUUGUUAAUAUAUUUACGUAACCAAAGUUAAGCAAAAUUCAAAUAAGUACAGGUAUUCACUUGAAAUAGUAGUAGGAAAAACUUUCUUUUAUUUAGUAGGUUCAUCCCCUUUUUCCCCAUGCAUCUACUCGUUACCUGAAAACAUGAAGGUGUAGCAUCAUGAGUAACACAGACCCAGUAAGUACAGCUUACAUUCUUAUACUAAUGUGUCUUAUAAGAAAUCAAAACUGAACAACCAAGUAAAAAUGUACCGAGAACCAUUUAUAUGUUCACACCAAAUCUUAAAUAUGUAUUUGUAUACACACAACAGACACAUAUAUAUAAACGAUUAUAAAACUGGUAAUAAAUCACAUAGUCACAUCUCUUUAUCGAAUCAACAAAUACUGUAGCAAUAAUAGGUGCAAAUAACCUCAAAACAAUGCAUGCUCGAUUCUCUUUUCACUUAACACCAUAACAUGUUAACAAUAUAUCACAGAUAGAUAUUUGAUCAAAACAAUAUAAGUACACUUUUCAUUUUAGUGAAAUUUCGGAUUAACUGGUAACAAAUGAUAAAUCCACGUGUUAGGGUCCAUAAUACCAAAACACGGGAAAGCCAGGUUGACUGGUAACAAUUCAUAAAUCCACGUGCUAGGGUCCAUAAUACCAAAGCACGGGAAACCACAUGCUAGGGUCCAUAAUACCAAAGCAUGGGUAAGCCGCAGCAUACCAGGGUCCAACGUACUAUACCCAAGUAUGUAUACUCAAAGUAAGCAACCUUCCUAAGAGUAUAAUAGUGCACUAUCUGAAGGGACUAGGGCCCAGGCUUAACGUCUCAUAACACCAAAACACAUUUACCAGUAAUUCACUUAAGCACGGGGUUGUAGAUAACACCCGGCUUCACAAUUGUACUUCUCAGACAUAAUCAAAUUCACAAAAUACAAACUUUAUAAAUUAUAGAUCAUAAUAUAUGUAUAUGUACACACACAUAUAGAGACAUACAUAUAUUUAGGAAUAACCUCAUAUGAAAACAUAUGUAGUAUAAUUAUAUAACACAAAUAAGUAAAUUCACUAGCAAACAACAUAAUUAAAAAUAAGCUAAUUAAAAAUAAGCUUAUACAUAACUGAAAUCAAGUAAAAUAUGUAAUAAUAAAGUACAAGCAUAUAAACAAGCUUACAUAAGUAAAUAUAACUGAAAUUGUGUGGACAAAUUAAUGUAUAUACAUAAUUAUAUAUAUAUAUAUAUAUAUAUAUAUCUAUAAUUAAACUUGAAAGUAAUUGUGCAAUAAAGGUACUGCAAAUUAAACUUGAAAGUAAAUGUGCAAUAAAAUAAAGGUACUGUAAAUUAGAAGUAGUAAAAGAAUAUUAGUUAGUAGUCAAAGAUUUAGUAGUCCUCUUGUCAUAGUAUUAGAAAUCUUAGUCCGAAGUGUCCAUUCGUCAAUCAAAAUAAUAGUACCAAGUACUGUCAACUUUCUGUUUUUAUAACUUGUUCAAUUCAUGUCCGAAAUAGUCAAGUGAGGACACCAAGUCAUAGGAUUUUUCAUAAGGAAUUCAAUGGAAUAAGUCAUGUAGUCCAGAUCAGAGUGAUAUAGUUCAGAAAUGGUAAAAGAACCAUAACAGUGCUGAAACCGAUAUUUUUGAAACUGACCUUUGAUGUUUAAGUCUUUACGUACUGUGUAUUUUACCAUUACUUCUCAAACUUUCCAGAAUAAAAGUAGAGGUCCUAAGCUUCAAAUUGAUAUAAAGUUUGUAGAAAAUGGAUAAGAAAUGAGGGAGAUAUGAAUUUGUGAAGUUGUAAUGGCGGUAUGAGAUUUCCAGCGAGUUUAAAAGUUGAAAACUUUGAUUAGCCAUAACUUCUUCAUUUCUUAACCUUUUUUAGUGAUUCAAAAGCCUAAACUGAAGGAUUUUUCAUGAAGAAACUGAAAAUAUAAUUAUUUUUGACAAGAUUAACUUUUAUCAAACACGAAAAUAUAUGACUGCAGCAAAACAGAUUCUUUUCCAUUUUAUCAUCGGUUAUGCACUUUGAUAAAUCUUAAAGGCAAAAGAAUAUAGCAAUGUAAUCAUGUACUUACUUAAGAAACUCAGAGAUGGAGUGAAUAUUUUGAUCUUGGAUCCAAGCUUGGACUUCUUUGAGAAAAACAAAGGGAGUUUCUUAAAAGAAAAGGAUGAAGGAUUUGAAUCAUAAAUCCACGUGUUAGGGUCCAUAAUACGAAAACACGGGAAAGCCAGAUUGACUGGUAACAAUUCAUAAAUCCACGUACUAGGGUCCAUAAUACCAAAGCACGGGAAACCACAUGCUAGGGUCCAUAAUACCAAAGCAUGGGUAAGCCGCAGCAUACCAGGGUCCAACGUACUAUACCCAAGUAUGUAUACUGAAAGUAAGCAACCUUCCUAAGAGUAUAAUAGUGCACUAUCUGAAGGGACUAGGGCCCAGGCUUAACGUCUCAUAACACCAAAACACAUUUACCAGUAAUUCACUUAAGCACGGGGUUGUAGAUAACACCCGGUUUCACAAUUGUACUUCUCAGACAUAAUCAAAUUCACAAAAUACAAUCUUUAUAAAUUAUAGAUCAUAAUAUAUGUAUAUGUACACACACAUAUAGAGACAUACAUAUAUUUAGGAAUAACCUCAUAUGAAAACAUAUGUAGCAUAAUUAUAUAACACAAAUAAGUAAAUUCACUAGCAAACAACAUAAUUAAAAAUAAGCUUAUACAUAACUGAAAUCAAGUAAAAUAUGUAUUAACAAAGUACAAGCAUAUA